rnacentral:tRNA from 1 species
GUGGGUAUAGCUCAGCUGGUUAGAGCGCCAGAUUGUGGAUCUGGAGGUCGUCGGUUCGACCCCGAUUACCCACCCCA